rnacentral:hammerhead_ribozyme from 1 species
AUUCAUCUGACGAGUCUCAAAUAAGACGAAACGCGUGCCUUAGAU